rnacentral:rRNA from 1 species
AGUGAACGCUGGCGGUAGGCCUAACACAUGCAAGUCGAACGGCAGCACAGUAAGAGCUUGCUCUUACGGGUGGCGAGUGGCGGACGGGUGAGGAAUACAUCGGAAUCUACUUUUUCGUGGGGGAUAACGUAGGGAAACUUACGCUAAUACCGCAUACGACCUACGGGUGAAAGCAGGGGAUCUUCGGACCUUGUGCGAUUGAAUGAGCCGAUGUCGGAUUAGCUAGUUGGCGGGGUAAAGGCCCACCAAGGCGAGGAUCCGUAGCUGGUCUGAGAGGAUGAUCAGCCGCACUGGAACUGAGACACGGUCCAGACUCCUACGGGAGGCAGCAGUGGGGAAUAUUGGACAAUGGGCGCAAGCCUGAUCCAGCCAUACUGCGUGGGUGAAGAAGGCCUUCGGGUUGUAAAGCCCUUUUGUUGGGAAAGAAAAGCAGCAGGUUAAUACCCCGCUGUUCUGACGGUACCCAAAGAAUAAGCACCGGCUAACUUCGUG